rnacentral:rRNA from 1 species
UGGGGAAUUUUGGACAAUGGGCGAAAGCCUGAUCCAGCAAUGCCGCGUGUGUGAAGAAGGCCUUCGGGUUGUAAAGCACUUUUGUCCGGAAAGAAAUCCUUGGCUCUAAUACAGUCGGGGGAUGACGGUACCGGAAGAAUAAGCACCGGCUAACUACGUGCCAGCAGCCGCGGUAAUACGUAGGGUGCAAGCGUUAAUCGGAAUUACUGGGCGUAAAGCGUGCGCAGGCGGUUUGCUAAGACCGAUGUGAAAAUCCCCGGGCUCAAACCUGGGAACUGCAUUGGUGACUGGCAGGCUAGAGUAUGGCAGAGGGGGGUAGAAUUCCACGUGUAGCAGUGAAAAUGCGUAGAGAUGUGGAGGAAUACCGAUGGCGAAAGGCAGCCCCCUGGGCCAAAUACUGACGCUCAUGCACGAAAAGCGUGGGGAGCAAAACAGGAUUAGAUACCCUGGUAGUCCACGCCCU